rnacentral:rRNA from 1 species
AUACGGAGGAUCCGAGCGUUAUCCGGAUUUAUUGGGUUUAAAGGGUGCGCAGGCGGCCAUUUAAGUCAGCGGUUAAAUCGUGGGGCUCAACCCCAUUCUGCCGUUGAUACUGGGUGGCUUGAUUGCGGUCGAGGUUGGCGGAAUUCGUUGUGUAGCGGUGAAAUGCAUAGAUAUGACGAAGAACACCGAUUGCGUAGGCAGCUGACCAGACCGCAAAUGACGCUCAUGCACGAAAGUGCGGGGAUCGAACAGGAUUAGAUACCCUGGUAGUCCACGCAGUAAACGAUGAUGACUAACCGUCGGCGAUAGACCGCCGGUGGCCAAGCGAAAGCGAUAAGUCAUCCACCUGGGGAGUACGACCGCAAGGUUGAAACUCAAAUGAAUUGACGGGG